GAGUUUGAUCAUGGCUCAGGACGAACGCUGGCGGCGUGCCUAAUACAUGCAAGUCGAGCGGAUCUUCAUUAGCUUGCUUUUGAAGAUCAGCGGCGGACGGGUGAGUAACACGUGGGCAACCUGCCUGUAAGACUGGGAUAACUUCGGGAAACCGGAGCUAAUACCGGAUAAUCCUUUUCCUUCUCAUGAGGAAAAGACUGAAAGACGGUUUCGGCUGUCACUUACAGAUGGGCCCGCGGCGCAUUAGCUAGUUGGUGAGGUAACGGCUCACCAAGGCGACGAUGCGUAGCCGACCUGAGAGGGUGAUCGG
rnacentral:rRNA from 1 species